rnacentral:rRNA from 1 species
GAACGCUGGCGGCGAUGCUACUACCAUGCUCAUCGUCGAACGCUUUUGUUUUCACCGGAGCUUGCUCCACCGAAAACAAAUAGAGUGGCGGACGGGUGAGCUAACACAGUGGGUAACCUCGCCCUCAAGCGGGGGAUAACACUUGGAAACAGGGUGCUAAGUACCUGCAUAACAGAUCAGAAUCUGCUAUGAUUUUGAUUUGAAAGGCGCUUUUGCGUCUACUUGAGGAUGGACCCGCGGUGCAUUAGCUAGUUGGUGAGGUAACGGCUCACCAAGGCCACGAUGCAUAGCCGACCUGAGAGGGUGAUCGGCCACAUUGGGACUGAGACACGGCCAAACUCCUACGGGAGGCAGCAGUAGUGGAAUCUUCCACAAUGGACGAAAGUCUGAUGGAGCAACGCCGCGUGAGGGAAGAAGGUUUUCGGAUCGUAAAACUCUGUUAUUUGGAGAAGAACGUAUUUGGUAGUAACUGGCCAGAUAGUGACGGUAUCCAAUCAGAACAGCCACGGCUAACUACGUGCCAGCAGCCGCGGUAAUACGUAGGUGGCAAGCGUUGUCCGGACUUAAUUUGGGGCGUAAAGCGAG